UGCCCAAAUGAGGCAUUAUAACACAGUGAGAGAUUACAAAGAACUCCAUCGUCCUCCAGGUGCAGGAAAGGCUAACUAGGUUAUGGUGCGAAUACCGACCGGCCACUCACAGCCACCGACCAACAGCCUGUCCCUGAGCAGCGUUUCGGGGCCCGGGAGAUGCUCACGAGGCAACAGAGAGCGCGAGCCCAGGGUCAGGCGGCAGGCCCUGCGGCGUCUCACUUUGCAGGCAGGACACUGUCCCUUCUCUGUAAGCUGCUGCGAGGACACCGAGCGCGUGUGACAGGCGGCCAUUUGGCAGGGCUGGAUGACACCUGAACCAGGCCCUGGAAAGCCCUGUGGCCCUGGG